rnacentral:rRNA from 1 species
AGCAGUAGCCACGUAAUACGUAGGGUGCGAGCGUUAAUCGGAAUUACUGGGCGUAAAGCGUGCGCAGGCGGUUUUGUAAGACAGGCGUGAAAUCCCCGGGCUCAACCUGGGAAUGGCGCUUGUGACUGCAAAGCUAGAGUGCGGCAGAGGGGGAUGGAAUUCCGCGUGUAGCAGUGAAAUGCGUAGAUAUGCGGAGGAACACCGAUGGCGAAGGCAAUCCCCUGGGCCUGCACUGACGCUCAUGCACGAAAGCGUGGGGAGCAAACAGGAUUAGAUACCCCUGUAGUCCCUGUCUCUUAUACA